GACGUAGGGCGCGAGCGUUGUCCGGAUUUAUUGGGCGUAAAGAGCUCGUAGGUGGUUUGUCGCGUUGUUCGUGAAAACUCACAGCUUAACUGUGGGCGUGCGGGCGAUACGGGCAGACUGGAGUACUGCAGGGGAGACUGGAAUUCCUGGUGUAGCGGUGGAAUGCGCAGAUAUCAGGAAGAACACCCGUGGCGAAGGCGGCUCUCUGGGACGGUACUGACGCUGAGACGCGAAAGCGUGGGGAGCGAACAGG
rnacentral:rRNA from 1 species